rnacentral:rRNA from 1 species
AAUGAACGCUGGCGGCGUGCUUAACACAUGCAAGUCGAGCGAGGCGGAGGGGGCAACUCCUCCAGUCGAGCGGCGGACGGGUGAGUAACACGUGGGCAAUCUGCCCGAAAGUGGGGAAUA